AUUCAGUUCUUGGCUGGCCCUUAGCGCCUAAAGUGGAAGAUGAUGGUUUUCCCAUUUUAUUAGUUGACCAGAGACGAGAAAUAGGGGUUUACACAACUGAACCGAGUAGCGGUGUGAAAGGAGGGUUCCGUUCAGGCCUUACUAAACCAAGCAACACGAGUUCUUUCGCACCGUUCACCCUGAUAGUUCUACUUAGAAUUGCUGCUUACUCUCAUCUUUGAAUUGAAGAGAAUAUAAGUUAUACGGUAUAGAACCAAAAGUCAAUACACUGAUCCUGCCCUUUCAUCUACAGCUGUAUCUGCUCUAUCAACUGCCUUUCCUUACGCGGGAAACAAAGGAUUUCCCGUUAGUCACUCACCGAUGCACUAGGAAUUGGGGAGUUCACUCGGAGCUAAACCUCAACUUGCUGUUUACUGCUGGCUUUACCUCACUCUACCACUUGUUCUUGGGCAUCGCCUUUGUUUUGUUUCAUUUCAAUUUGACAGCACUAGCCCCUAGACUGACUUAUGACUUGAAUCACGAGUAGAGGCGGACUCAGCACUUAAAGGACAGAAGCACAGCACCUACCCAGAAAGGAAGGACAGAAGCACAGCACCUACCCCGGAAGUCAAAGAGACAAGUUACUACUUAGCAACGGCGCGACAAGUCAGUACUUCGUUUGUUCCCCGAAACUGACUCCUUAUUAUCAACUCUAAAACGCACGUUGUUUGUUUACUUGUGUCAAAUCAAAUGAGUCACAUAUGGGAGAGGGAAUCAAACGACUUCUUACAGCAGGCUCUUUCGGGGUUGCUUUUUCUUCCGUUUUGCUUGUAGACACCAGACUCACAGUUCACUUUUCUUGGUUUUCUCGUUGCGAAUCAUCUUUCAUUCAGAAUGCGAUGUGCCAUUGAAAACAGGAAUCCUGCGGACCGGACUCAUAAGUGACGAAGAAUUAGGCCUGUAGAACGCUAGACUCAAGUAUAGAAUUCCACCCUUUAGCUUGUUUCACUUGCUUGCUCUCCUUACUCUAAAGAAGAAUCCAAUUUCAAAUGAACGA
rnacentral:lncRNA from 1 species